GGUCGGCAUGUUCGCUGCGAUUGCGAUGCUGGAUCGGAAUCCUGGAUUUUUGGCACCGAAAAUAGUCGGGUGGGAGCGCGGCGAAACCGCGAGGGCGGGCGCGGCGCAGUGCGUGUCGCUCCGCCGUGUGAACAGCCCGCUCGUGAGGCCGUAACUGGCGUAUUUUUUGACCGGACCGUAAAGACACAAAGCCACCACCAUGGACGCGAUUAAGAAGAAGAUGCAGGCGAUGAAGCUGGAGAAGGACAAUGCCAUGGACAAGGCCGACACCUGCGAACAGCAGGCUAGGGACGCCAACCUCCGCGCCGAAAAGGUCAACGAGGAAGUCCGUGAGCUCCAGAAGAAGCUCGCUCAGGUGGAAGAAGACCUGAUCCUGAACAAGAACAAGCUGGAACAGGCCAACAAGGACCUUGAAGAGAAGGAGAAGACCCUUACCGCCACCGAGGCUGAGGUUGCCUCCCUCAACAGGAAGGUGCAGCAGAUUGAGGAGGACCUUGAGAAGUCCGAGGAGAGGUCAGGCACCGCCCAGCAGAAGCUGCUCGAAGCUCAGCAGUCUGCUGACGAGAACAACCGUAUGUGCAAGGUGCUGGAGAACAGGGCGCAGCAGGACGAGGAGCGCAUGGACCAGCUCACCAACCAGCUCAAGGAGGCGCGUCUGCUCGCCGAGGACGCCGACGGCAAGUCCGACGAGGUAUCCCGCAAGCUGGCCUUCGUUGAAGACGAGCUUGAAGUAGCUGAGGACCGUGUCAAGUCUGGAGACGCCAAGAUCUCAGAACUUGAGGAGGAAUUAAAGGUCGUAGGUAACUCCCUCAAAUCUCUGGAAGUAUCGGAAGAGAAGGCCAACCAGCGCGUCGAGGAGUUCAAGAAACAGCUGAAGACCCUCACUAGCAAACUCAAGGAGGCCGAGGCUCGCGCCGAGUUCGCCGAGAAGACUGUCAAGAAACUGCAGAAGGAGGUUGACAGGCUCGAAGGUACGACCACAAACAAUAUUAACCUCAUCAUAAACAAAAACUUAAAUCUAUCAAAACUAAGAAAUACUUUUCUGAUCUCAAAGUUUCAACUAAACAAAUCUAAAUAUCAAGUAACGAAAUCUUCUAUAAUGAUAACUUGAUAACUUUUCUAACAAAAAGAGAAUACUAUGGCUUCUCUUAAUAUCUGCAAAAGCUUUUUAAUCAAAACUUUUCUAAUAAAAACUCAUUGUUUUUUUCUUACUGAUCUUGAAGUCUAGGGGCCGGGACAAAGUCGGUUCGCUUCGUAAGUUAUUAUCAAAUGACUAAAUUUUGCAGACGCAUUAUUCAACGAGAAGGAGAAAUACAAGGCGAUAUGCGAUGACUUGGACGGCACAUUCGCCGAGCUGACAGGAUACUAACCAGCCCUUACAGCACAUAGUUUAAGUCAAAACCGUCCGAAUCACUUUGCCCUAAAGUCCAUUUUGAUACGUCACUUGCAUCGCCUGGACCCUGUUCAUAGUAGCCGACCGUAGAUUUACAGAACGAGUUCCAUUUCAGUAUCUAAACUGUAUCUUAUAACGCCUAACCUCUUGCUGGAUGUGUGGGGGACUGUCCUUGUACAGUAUAGUGUAGACGUAUGUCCAGGAGCAUUUGCGACAGUCCCCCGAACACCUCGUGUUGAGCCCUGCUUUCUUUGUUUGUGAUUAACAUGUCUAUCGCUUUGCUGCUACCGUCGCGGACCAAUGCUUCCAAGAUGAGCUCGGAAUCAACAAGGACAGAUACAAGAGCUUGGCCGACGAGAUGGACUCCACAUUCGCCGAGCUGGCGGGAUACUAGACACCCACUCCUUCCACACAUUCACACACACACGCAGCCCGCUGCCACACACACAUACACGAACAAACACACAAUCGUACACGUGAUGUAAUAUUUAUUAAUAUUUUAUGUAAAUUUAUUUACGAUUUUCAAUAAAAUUAAUUUAUAACAAGUUACUUUUUACGUUUUUGUGGUUCCCUUUAUCUGAAGUUUAAUCUAAGACCAAAAACUUUAACGAAGUUCAUCUGAAAUAUAAAGUAUACUGUUAAAAAUAGAUAAUCGUUUGGUGCUAAAGCAAAAUGUGAAUUCAUGAGUACAGUGACUAGUUUGUACUUUUACAUGCAAUAAUAAAAUUGAUAUUUUAAUUACUA